GCUUUCUUUACUGUCACUAACCUUUCUACCUUACCCUUUUGAUUUCAUGUAAAAAACGAAUUUAGCUACGGUUGUAUUUCAAAAAAAGAAAACCUUGGGGAUCUUAUUUCCCAAUCCAAUCACAUUCUCCCCCUUUCUGAUUCUAGGGUUUUUACCAUGCCGUGGGUGGAGGAGAUUGUACUGCGUGAUGUCACCAAUGCGGGACUCGUCGUCAGCGACCGUAUUGGCCGUGAAGUGGCGUCCCAGUUGGACCUCGAGAAAGCUUUGGAAGCUUCCAGAUAUGCCAGUCAUCCCUACUCCACUCACCCCAGAGAGGUAAUUUUUUUAACCAAUUUACCCCCUAAAAACCAAGUCUUUAGUAUUUAUCUCUGCUAUUCAGUCAAAAAUUGAUGGUCAAUUUGGGACUUUGAUUCCAUUCACUUGUCUGUGUGAUUUUUUUCUUGUUUUCUGUCCCAAUAUAAUAUGAAGUUGUAUCCAAUGCUGGCAAGGGCAUACGUGCAGUCUAGGUGUUUUGACCCCUGUAUUGCCUGACGCUCAAUGUGCAAAAAUGCAUUUGCCCGAGUAAGUAAGUUGAUUCUUGUAGGAGUAUGCUGCUCUGGAGGGGGGGGGGGGUGAUAAAGCUGAUCCUUAUGCAGAAGUUGCACUGCAGUCUUUGCCAGAGUAUACAAUACCUUCUGAUGGAGUUACAAUGACUUGUAUCACAUGUACUGAUAAGGGUCGUGUUUUCAUGGCUGGCCGAGAUGGCCACAUCUAUGAGCUGCAUUACACGACUAGUUCAGGCUGGCAUAAGCGUUGCCGUAAAGUUUGCCUCACUGCAGUUGUAGGGAGUGUUAUUUCAAGGUGGGUUAUACCAAAGGCAGAUUCUAUAUGCAAGAACUGAAGAUAUGAAAAUUCAGGUUUUUGUUAUGGGGCCUAGUGGACACAGUCCAUUGAAAAAAGUGGCUGAAGAAAAGAAUUUGUUAAAUCAGAAAGAUGCACAUUAUGGAGGUAGACAAACAAAAGCACCAAGAGG